rnacentral:ncRNA from 1 species
GAAGAAGUGAAUUAAGGGCAUUUGGUGGAUGCCUUGGCAUGCACAGGCGAAGAAGGACGUGAUACGCUGCGAAAAGCCGUGGGGAGCUGCGAAUAAGCUUUGAUCCAUGGAUCUCCGAAUGGGGCAACCCACCUUAAAUGCUUGGAAAAUCCAGUCUGUUUUAACGAACGGCCUGGGUUUCCAAGCAUUAUUAUAAGGUAUCUUACUUUCGAAUACAUAGGGGUAAGAAGCGAACGCAGGGAACUGAAACAUCUAAGUACCUGCAGGAAAGGACAUCAACCGAGACUCCGUAAGUAGUGGCGAGCGAACGCGGACCAGGCCAGUGGCAAUGAUGAAUAAAGCGGAACGAUUUGGAAAAGUCGGCCAUAGAGGGUGAUAGCCCCUUACGCGUAGAACAGUCAUUGUCCUUGAGUAGGGCGGGGCACGUGAAAUCCUGUCUGAACAUGGGGAGACCACUCUCCAAGCCUAAGUACUCGUGCAUGACCGAUAGCGAACAAGUACCGUGAGGGAAAGGUGAAAAGCACCCCGACGAGGGGAGUGAAAUAGAACCUGAAACCGGAUGCCUACAAACAGUCGGAGCCCGCAAGGGUGACGGCGUACCUUUGUAUAAUGGGUCAACGACUUAGUGUAACUAGCAAGCUUAAGCCGGUAGGUGUAGGGCGCAGCGAAAGCGAGUCUGAAUAGGGCAUUGAGUUAGUUGCAUUAGACCGAAACCGAGUGAUCAGCCAUGAGCAGG